UACGAAGGGGGCUAGCGUUGUUCGGAAUUACUGGGCGUAAAGCGCACGUAGGCGGGUUUGUAAGUAGGGGGUGAAAUCCCAGAGCUCAACUCUGGAACUGCCUUCUAAACUGCAAGCCUGGAGGUCAGGGAGAGGCGAGUGGAAUACCGAGUGUAGAGGUGAAAUUCGUAGAUAUUCGGUGGAACACCAGUGGCGAAGGCGACUCGCUGGACUGAUACUGACGCUGAGGUGCGAAAGCGUGGGGAGCAAACAGG
rnacentral:rRNA from 1 species